AAAGCACUAAUAGAAACUUAAAGUAGUAUCACCCUCGCUUGACUGAAAUUUUAUGUGGAAACUAAGCUCAACGUGUCUGAGAUAAGGAAACUGAGGCAUAGAAAAAUAACCUGUCAAAUAGAGGGUGCUUCAGGAGGAAGGCAAAGAGAUACCUGUGAUCUUUCAUCUUGAGGGAGCAGUUAAAGAGGCAGAGUUUCACCCCGAGCAGUGAGAGUGGCACCACCAAGCCUCCUCUCCAGAAACCGUACUCAGCAUCUCAGCAUCAAGCUGCCAUAGCUCUGAACUGUGUCUUACCUUGAUCUUCAUUUGAGGAAUCCACCCCUCCCCAUGCAGUCCAUGUGCUUCCAGAGAAGUUGACCUACUCCCUGGUUAGUUCAAGCCAACCAUCACAUUCCAUAUUCCCAUGCACAUCUUUCAGAAUUAAACAAGUGAAUAUCAGGAUACUUGCUGGACUGAUGGAAAUCAUUCUCUCUAGAUGUGGAUGAGGGAACAUGUACUUUGGGGGUCUGCUUGCAGCCAUCUUGUGAUCAUGAGAGUUGCUGGCUUUAGGAUAAAGGUGUCACUGUGGAAGACAGAGAAAGAUGGAAAGACUCUGAGCCCUUAGUGAUACAGCUGAGCCUGUAGUGACUGAAGACCUAGAGAAACGGUCCUGAAUGACAAACUAACCCAAAA